rnacentral:rRNA from 1 species
GCCUCAUAAAAAUUAUGUGGGGUGCGACCUGCUCAGUGGCUACAAAUAAAAGAUAACAGUAGUUAAACAGCCGCGGUAACUCUGACCGUGAUAAAGUAGCAUAAUCACUCGUCAUUUAAUUGGUGACUAGAAUGAACGGUUACACGAAUCCUUAACUGUCUCGAUUACAAACUGUAUGAAUUUAAAAUAAUAGUGAAGAUGCUAUUUACUAAUUGUAAGACGAAAAGACCCUAUCGAGCUUUACUAACAGCUUAUACUACAAACAAUAAUAAACAUAUUAAAACAAACAUUUAAGCAAAUUAGUUUGGUUGGGGCGACCACCUCUAAAAUAGUAUCAGAGGAAAUCCAAAGGUUAAUAAUUAAUAUAAAAAGCCUAACUGUCUAUUAACAAAUUAAUCAGUUACUAUCGGUAGGAUAUAAUGACCCGCUAGACUUACCUCUUAAUCUAACGAUAACGGAAAAAGUUACCGUAGGGAUAACAGGGUAAUAUUCCCGUAGAGUCCAUAUCGAUGGGAAUGUUUGCCACCUCGAUGUUGAAUUGUGAUAUCCUAAAGGUGCAGCAGCUUUAAAGGGUUG